rnacentral:rRNA from 1 species
AGGGCACCACCAGGAGUGGAGCCUGCGGCUUAAUUUGACUCAACACGGGAAAACUCACCCGGCCCGGACACUGGAAGGAUUGACAGAUUGAGAGCUCUUUCUUGAUUCAGUGGGUGGUGGUGCAUGGCCGUUCUUAGUUGGUGGAGUGAUUUGUCUGGUUAAUUCCGAUAACGAACGAGACUCUAGCCUACUAAAUAGAUCGUCGGCUUACAAACGCCGGCGAGACUUCUUAGAGGGACAGGCGGUGAUUCUACCGCACGAAACAGAGCAAUAACAGGUCUGUGAUGCCCUUAGAUGUCCGGGGCCGCACGCGCGCUACACUGAAGUGAUCAGCGUGCUUUUUCAACCUACUCUGUCAAGAGUGGGGAACCCAAUGAACCUUCUUCGUGAUUGGGAUAGGGGAUUGUAAUUAUUCCCCUUGAACGAGGAAUUCCCAGUAAGCGCGAGUCAUAAGCUCGCGUUGAUUACGUCCCUGCCCUUUGUACACACCGCCCGUCGCUACUACCGAUUGAAUGUUUU